GACGAACGCUGGCGGCGUGCUUAACACAUGCCAGUCGAACGGAAAGGCCCUGCUUGCAGGGUACUCGAGUGGCGAACGGGUGAGUAACACGUGGGUGAUCUGCCCUGCACUUCGGGAUAAGCCUGGGAAACUGGGUCUAAUACCGGAUAGGAGCCAUUUUUAGUGUGAUGGUUGGAAAGUUUUUUCGGUGUAGGAUGAGCUCGCGGCCUAUCAGCUUGUUGGUGGGGUAAUGGCCUACCAAGGCGGCGACGGGUAGCCGGCCUGAGAGGGUGGACGGCCACAUUGGGACUGAGAUACGGCCCAGACUCCUACGGGAGGCAGCAGUGGGGAAUAUUGCACAAUGGGCGCAAGCCUGAUGCAGCGACGCCACGUGGGGGAUGACGGCCUUCGGGUUGGAAACUCCUUUCGCUAGGGACGAAGCUUUUUGUGACGGUACCUAGAGAAGAAGCACCGGCUAACUACGUG
rnacentral:rRNA from 1 species